rnacentral:rRNA from 1 species
AGCUUGCUUCUAUGACGUUAGCGGCGGACGGGUGGGUAACACGUGGGCAACCUGCCUGUAAGACUGGGAUAACUUCGGGAAACCGAAGCUAAUACCGGAUAGGAUCUUCUCCUUCAUGGGAGAUGAUUGAAAGAUGGUUUCGGCUAUCACUUACAGAUGGGCCCGCGGUGCAUUAGCUAGUUGGUGAGGUAACGGCUCACCAAGGCAACGAUGCAUAGCCGACCUGAGAGGGUGAUCGGCCACACUGGGACUGAGACACGGCCCAGACUCCUACGGGAGGCAGCAGUAGGGAAUCUUCCGCAAUGGACGAAAGUCUGACGGAGCAACGCCGCGUGAGUGAUGAAGGCUUUCGGGUCGUAAAACUCUGUUGUUAGGGAAGAACAAGUAC